GCUCUCUCUCGGGGAGUCAGGAAGGGCAUCAUAGGGAAGAGGUGACUUCUAAGCAAGUGUUAGAAGAUGAGUAGGGUCUGCUGCCUGUAGAAGUCUAGCAAGGGCAUCCCAAGCAGAAGGAGUCACAGGGCAGAGUUCAGGGCCCCAGGGCAGGGUGACACAUUGGGCACCUGUCUAGAGUUGGGGCCAAGCAGUGGAGGAUCCAUGCUGCCACAUCACGGCAGUCACUCAUAUACUAACAACCCCCAAGUCUGAGUAAACAGCCUGGGCCUUUUCCCUAAGCCCUUAACUCACACACCACCGCCUGCUCAGCAGCUACACUGCGAAGUGUACGGGCAAGAAGUCUCAGUUUGUCCUUAAGAAAAGAUGAAAAAGCCAAAACACGACCUUGUUCUUCUCUGGUCUUCCGGUCUUCCCUGUCUCACGUGGCACCACGCAGGCCCAGAAUAUGGGCGGCGCGGUUAAUGCUGCCCCUGCCCUCAUCCCACACAUCAUGGGUCUGCUGCAGUUCCAGACGGCUUCUCCUCCAGAGCGCACCCUGAAGCCGCCACCCCUCUCCCUGGGACUCUCCACUUCCACCCUGGCCCUGCUGCUGUCAGGUUUCUGCCUAGUGAGGAGAGUGACCUUUACAAAGUAGAGAAGCUCCUGCUUUCUGGCCGCCAUGGAAUAGAAUCUACGCCUCUUGCCAUGGCCUGCCCGCCGCUUACUUCUCUGCCCUCAUCUCUCCGCGCUGUCAGCUUACUCCAUGUCAGACACCGUGUCUUUCUUGCUGGUCCUCUCUUGUGUCCUUGCACUUGCUGUCCUUAGCCUGGGUCUUUCUCUCCCCUCGUCUGGCCUGGCGCACCCUCCCUCCGUUCUGGUCUCCUUUCAUGUGCUCUCUCUCUCACCGGUCGAAAAAAAGCGCUGUUGUACUCUUUCCCCCAGCAACCACUCUGUCCUUUUACCUUGCUUUGUUUUUCUUCAUCAGCACCCAUCGCCACCUGAGCUUAUACUGUAUAUUUGUCUUCUUGUUUACUCUUUGCCUAAAUCCAUGAGGAAGGUCUUUGUCUUUCUUGUCUCUUGCACUCACCAUGCCAGAGCUAAACACUGAGCCUGGCACACAGGCAGCGAUGAUGAAACACUAGAUGGGUGAAUGAACAAGUGAGUGAGCGAGCACAUGCCAGUGUGCAAGCCGAGACUUGGGCGUUUAUGCCACAGGAGGCGCGGGCCUAGUAGACAUCUUCCAGGAGGAACAGCAAGAGGGGAUGAGCUGGUGUGGGAAAAGGCUGGCAGUACCAAGCAGACAUGAGCCCUGGGUGCAUGUUCUGUGCAGUGCCAUUGGUGCUGCAUCUCUGGGAGCUGCUCUGCAGUCACCGCG
ensembl:lncRNA